UACGGGGUGCAGCAGGCGCGAAACCUUUACACUGCACGACAGUGCGAUAGGGGGAUCCCAAGUGCACAGGCAUAGCGCCUGUGCUUUUCGGUACCCUAAGGCGGUACCAGAAUAAGGGCUGGGCAAGACCGGUGCCAGCCGCCGCGGUAAUACCGGCAGCCCAAGUGAUGGCCGAUCUUAUUGGGCCUAAAGCGUCCGUAGCUGGCCACGCAAGUCCAUCGGGAAAUCCACCUGCCCAACAGGUGGGCGCCCGGUAGAAACUGCGUGGCUUGGGACCGGAAGGCGCGACGGGUACGUCCGGGGUAGGAGUGAAAUCCCGUAAUCCUGGACGGACCGCCGAUGGCGAAAGCACGUCGCGAGAACGGAUCCGACAGUGAGGGACGAAAGCCAGGGUCUCGAACCGGAUUAGAUACCCGGGUAGUCCUGGCCGUAAACAAUGUCUGCUAGGAGUGGCUCCCACUACAAGUGGGUGCUGUGCCGCAGGGAAGCCGCUAAGCAGACCGCCUGGGAAGUACGUCCGCAAGGAUGAAACUUAAAGGAAUUGGCGGGGGAGCAAA
rnacentral:rRNA from 2 species